rnacentral:rRNA from 1 species
UACGUAGGUGGCAAGCGUUGUCCGGAUUUAUUGGGUUUAAAGGGUGCGUAGGCGCCCUGUAAGUCAGUGCUGAAAUACCCCGGCUUAACCGGGGGGGGUGGCAUUGAUACUGCAGGGCUUGAGUACAGAUGAGGUAGGCGGAAUUGACGGUGUAGCGGUGAAAUGCAUAGAUAUCGUCAAGAACACCGAUAGCGAAGGCAGCUUACUGGGCUGUAACUGACGCUGAUGCACGAAAGUGUGGGGAUCAAACAGG